rnacentral:rRNA from 1 species
AACGAACGCUGGCGGCAGGCUUAACACAUGCAAGUCGAGCGCCCCGCAAGGGGAGCGGCAGACGGGUGAGUAACGCGUGGGAAUCUACCCAUCUCUACGGAAUAACGCAUGGAAACGUGUGCUAAUACCGUAUACGUCCUUCGGGAGAAAGAUUUAUCGGAGAUGGAUGAGCCCGCGUUGGAUUAGCUAGUUGGUGGGGUAAAGGCCUACCAAGGCGACGAUCCAUAGCUGGUCUGAGAGGAUGAUCAGCCACACUGGGACUGAGACACGGCCCAGACUCCUGCGGGAGGCAGCAGUGGGGAAUAUUGGACAAUGGGCGGAAGCCUGAUCCAGCCAUGCCGCGUGAGUGAUGAAGGCCCUAGGGUUGUAAAGCUCUUUCACCGGUGAAGAUAAUGACGGUAACCGGAGAAGAAGCCCCGGCUAACUUCGUGCCAGCAGCAGCCGCCGUAA